rnacentral:rRNA from 1 species
UACGGAGGGUGCAAGCGUUAUCCGGAUUCACUGGGUUUAAAGGGUGCGUAGGCGGGCAGGUAAGUCCGUGGUGAAAUCUCUGAGCUUAACUCAGAAACUGCCAUGGAUACUAUUUGUCUUGAAUGUUGUGGAGGUAAGCGGAAUAUGUCAUGUAGCGGUGAAAUGCUUAGAUAUGACAUAGAACACCCAUUGCGAAGGCAGCUUACUACGGAUUAUUGACACUGAGGCACGAAAGCGUGGGGAUCAAACAGG